UUUUUUAAUUAAAAAUUAAUUAAAUUAUCUUUUAAUAAAAGUAUAAAUAAAAAUAUAUUCUUAUAAAUAAAAUUAAUAACUGAAAAGGAGUUUCUUAUUUUUAAAAAAGUAAAUUAAUUGUACCUUUAGCAUAAGGGAGUUUCAAAAAAAAAUAAAUUUUUAUUUUUCUCGAAAUAAAUUGAUCUAAUUUUAAUUUAAUUAAUAUAUUUCAAAAUAUUUAACAAAAUUUUAAUUAGAAGUGAAAUUCUUUUCAAAAUUUAAGAUACCUAGUUUUUUAAUUAAAAUUAAAUUUUUUCUGUUUAAAAAUUAUAUUUAUUAAAUAAACAGAAUAACUUUUUUAGGAUAAGCUAAAAAAUAUUUUAAAAAUAUAAAUUAUAUUAUAUAAAAAAGGAAUAAAAUUUUCCCUUUAAUUUUUAAAAGUAAUUUUAAUUAUUUAAAAAAUUAAAUUUUAAUAUAUAAUUAAUUGAGAUAAAUAAUUUUUUCAAAAAAAAAUGGAAGUAUUAGUAAAAAAAAUUCAUUACAUUAAAUUAAAUUAAAUUUAAAUUUUAAAAUUAAAUUUAAGUAAUUCAGCAAAAUUUUUUUUUGACUGUUUAAUAAAAACAUUUUAUUUAGAAUUAAAAUAUUAAUUAAAUAUAAGUCCUGCUCAAUGAUUUUAUUAAAUUGCUGUAGUAUUUUGACUAUACAAAGGUAUUGUAAUAAGAUUUUAAUUGAAUGCUAAGAGAAUGGAUUAACAAGGAAACUCUUUCUUAAAUUUAAAAAUUAAAGUUAUUAUUUUUUGUGCAGAAACAAAAAUGAAAAUUAAGGACAAGAAGACCCUAAGAAUUUUAAUUUCAAUAAUAUAUUAAAUAUUGUUGUUGAAAUUUAAUUGGGGCGAUUGGAAAAUAUUUUAAACUUUUCUUAAAAAGAAAAAUGAACCAUUAUUAUUGGUAAUAUGAAAAAAUACUCUAGGGAUAACAGCGUAAUAAUUUUUAAUAGUUCAUAUAGACAAAAUAGUUUGCGACCUCGAUGUUGGAUUAGGAUUCUUAUUUAAUGAAGAAGUUAAAUAAAGAAGUUUGUUCAACUUUUAAAAUCCUACAUGAUCUGAGUUUAAACCGAUGAGAAUCAGGUUGGUUUCUAUCUUAAUUUAAUAAAUUUAACAAGUUAGUACGAAAGGAAUUCUUGUAGAAAAUUAUUUUUAUUAAGAUCUUACAGUUUUUGCAUCAAUUUUUGGAAUU
rnacentral:rRNA from 1 species